CGGCAUGAGUGGCGGACGGGUGAGUAACGCGUGGGCAACCUGCCCUGUACAGGGGGACAACACUUAGAAAUAGGUGCUAAUACCGCAUAACGGGGGAGCCGCAUGGCACCCCCCUGAAAACUCCGGUGGUACAGGAUGGGCCCGCGUCUGAUUAGCUGGUUGGCAGGGUAACGGCCUACCAAGGCGACGAUCAGUAGCCGGCCUGAGAGGGCGGACGGCCACACUGGGACUGAGACACGGCCCAGACUCCUACGGGAGGCAGCAG
rnacentral:rRNA from 1 species